CAUGUAUGUAUUAUAUGCCAGAAUACAUUCUGCUGUCAUGUAUGACUAAAAAAAAAUAAAAAUAAAAAUAAAUUGUAUAGUUAAAAAAAAAAGAUCAGCCUGGUAUGUCAAUAUCCAAAUGUAAUUUGAGAUCCAUAAAAAGAGAAUAGUGAAAACAGAAGGGAGGAAAUCAUUAACAAAGAGUUUAAAAUUUUUCAGAACUCAAGAAUAAGGAUUUUCAGAUUCAAAAUGUUCCAACACAAUGAAUGAAAGAAGACCAACUCCAAAACAUAUUAUUUGUGAAAUUUCAGAAAACCAAACAAAAAGAAGAUUCUGUAGGCUUCCAGGGAAUGGGAAGCCUGUUGCAUAUAAAGGAUCAAGAAUCAGAAUGUUGAAGGAAGUGGGGGGAAGUGCUGGGGAGUAAUAUUGGCCAAACAUAUUGUUACAUUGUGUGCAUACAUGAACAUGUAACAAAUUCCAUCACUAUGUACAAUUAUAAUGCACCAAUAAAAAAUAAUAUGGAGGACUGAGGUUGUGGCUCAGCGGUAGAGUGCUUGCCUCGCACGUGCGAGACCCUGGGUUCGAUUCUCAGCACCACAUACAAAAAUAAACAAGUGAAAUAAAGGUGUUGUGUCAACUAAAAAAUAAAUAAAUAAAUUUUUUAAAAAAUGAUAAUAAUGUGGAAAGAAAAAAUGUCCUCAGAUGUCUCAACAGCAACUCUGAAAACUAGAAAGAAGACAAUGGAGAGGUGCCUUCAGAAUUCUUAGGAAAAUUUAUUUCCAACCUAGGGUUCUGUUCUGUAUGUGGCCAAUUAUUUGCCAAGCGUGAGGGUAGAAUAAAGACAGUUUUAGUCAAGAAUGGUAUUGCACACCUGUAAUCCAGCUACUCUGGAGCUGGAGGCAAGAGGAUCACAAAUUCAAGGCCAGCUUCAGCAUUUUGGUGAGGCAGUAUCUUAAAAUUUAAAAAAGGACUAGGGCGUGGCUCAAUGUAGAGACUUGCCUAGCAUGUACAAGGUCCUCCAUUUAAUCCCAGUACUGCAAAAAUAAAUAAGAUGGACUAAUGGGACACUCCGUACCCUUAUUUAUGUAUGAAAAUUUAUAUUUGUUUUCCUUGCUUUGUAUUUUAAGUGAAAGCAUUUAUUACAUUAUAUCCUCUUUAUCUCCUCUAUCCUUAGAAUGUAAUUCUG
rnacentral:lncRNA from 1 species